rnacentral:tRNA from 2 species
UGGGGCGUGGCCAAGUGGUAAGGCAACGGGUUUUGGUCCCGUUAUUCAGAGGUUCGAACCCUUCCGUCCGAG